rnacentral:rRNA from 1 species
CUACGGGUUGCACCAGUGAGGAAUAUUGGUCAAUGGGCGGAAGCCUGAACCAGCCAUCCCGCGUGAAGGAUGACUGCCCUAUGGGUUGUAAACUUCUUUUAUGCACCAGGAAAAAGCCCUACGUGUAGGGUACUGACAGUAGUGCAUGAAUAAGCAUCGGCUAACUCCGUGCCAGCAGCCGCGGUAAUACGGAGGAUGCGGGCGUUAUCCGGAUUCAUUGGGUUUAAAGGGUACGUAGGCGGCCUGAUAAGUCAGUGGUGAAAUCCUGCAGCUUAACUGUAGAACUGCCAUUGGUACUGUUGGGCUUGAAUGUAGUUGAGGUAGGCGGAAUGUGUUGUGUAGCGGUGAAAUGCUUAGAUAUAACACAGAACACCGAUUGCGAAGGCAGCUUACUAGACUAUGAUUGACGCUGAGGUACGAAAGCGUGGGGAGCGAACAGGAUUAGAUACCCCGGUAGUC